rnacentral:rRNA from 1 species
UAGCGGCGAGUGAGCGGCAAAAGCUCAAAUUUGAAAUCUGGCUCUUUCAGAGUCCGAGUUGUAAUUUGAAGAAGGUAUCUUUGGGCCUGGCUCUUGUCUAUGUUUCUUGGAACAGAACGUCACAGAGGGUGAGAAUCCCGUGCGAUGAGAUGACCCAGGUCCGUGUAAAGUUCCUUCGACGAGUCGAGUUGUUUGGGAAUGCAGCUCUAAGUGGGUGGUAAAUUCCAUCUAAAGCUAAAUAUUGGCGAGAGACCGAUAGCGAACAAGUACAGUGAUGGAAAGAUGAAAAGAACUUUGAAAAGAGAGUGAAAAAGUACGUGAAAUUGUUGAAAGGGAAGGGCUUGAGAUCAGACUUGGCAUUUUGCAUGUUGCUUCUUCGGGGGCGGCCUCUGCGGUUUGUCGGGCCAGCAUCAGUUUGGGCGGCAGGACAAUCGCGUGGGAAUGUGGCACGGCCUCGGCUGUGUGUUAUAGCCCGCGUGGAUACUGCCAGCCUAGACUGAGGACUGCGGUUUAUACCUAGGAUGUUGGCAUAAUGAUCUUAAGUCGCCCGUCUUAAAAAAA